rfam:Glossina pallidipes unplaced genomic scaffold Scaffold99, whole genome shotgun sequence.
AAACAGGUUUUUUUUAAAACUACUUUGUGAUAAAUUAAAGGUGUUU